GCCGAGAUCGCAUAAUCUGGUAUUGCACUAGCCUGCUAAGCUAGACCCUUCGGGGUAUCUGGGUUCAAAUCCCAGUCUCGGCG
rnacentral:tRNA from 1 species